UCCGGCUGCUGAGGAGCUUCCACAGGAAGCACAGGAGUCCCCCAGCUUCACAUGUGAAGACCAGCAGGGGAGAGGGGACCCCCUGGGUGCCUGUGUAUGCCUUGAGCCAGGUCUCUGUGCUGGGGGUGACUCUGCCUGGACCCUGGGCAGCUCUGUUGACAGAGACAAGAACAAGAAUAUGUUGGUGGCUGUGGAGCAGAAGAGUGAUGACAACACUGCCUUCCGUGACGUGGAAAGCACUAGGCAGUGCUCCAUGUUCAGCCAUGGGCACGGGGCUCCUACAUGUCCAUCUGUACUGACCCAGACUGCCCCGGAGCCUAACGCUGAGUUUCUGAUGGGCUCUGGGGAUAGGGCCACCCACAUGGCGCCAGUCUACAACUGUGCUCUGGGCCUUCCCUGGCCCCAUGAUUGCAUUAAUAAUGUAAUAUGUUGGUAUAUAGCCUUUUGUUCUAUUUUGCUAUUUACUAAUAAAAAUUAGUCUAUAAUUCUG